UUGUACCAGAACCCUUCCCCUCAACCGGAGAGCUUCCAGAAGAAUAUGUAAUGCUGAGUACUUAGACAAUGUAACUCAGAUCACAAGGCACAACUGUCUUCUUAACUCAGAUCACAAGACACAAGUGGAAACCCCAGUUGGUGGAUUUUGUGCCUGAUGCCAACUUCUGUUUGCUGCCACCUCCACAGUUGGCUUUCUUUCUUCUGGUACAUUCUCAACCCCAGGACUAUAU
rnacentral:lncRNA from 1 species